rnacentral:lncRNA from 1 species
UUAUGUGCCUUAAGUUCGGGUAAACUUUUCUAUAGGCAUGUUUGUUUGGAUGAAAGUGGGGUGGAAGUGGAGGAGGGCGAAAUCGUUUUUGUUAUAAAGGGUCACUUCCGCUGUUUGGUUCGCCAUAAAAAAGUUAUGAUUGAAACUCGAGUUAACCUCAAACGGCGUAAUUGACUUCGGCCUAUCGUGGGCCGAUGUCAAUUACGGUGAAGAAAUGUAAGAAAAAAUAAUAAAAUAAUAUAAUAGGUAAAGAUAAUUAUAUUUAAAUAUAUUUAAUUAUAUAUACAGUUGAUAUAUUAAAAUAUGAUAAAAAUUGUUUAGUUAAGUUUUAAUAUUUUCUUUAUUUGGUUUGUACAAUUAAAAUAUAAUAAAAAUUGAUUAAUUAAGUAUUAGUAUUUUUUACUUUAUAAUUUUAUUAUUGUAUUAGUAUAAUUUAUGUAUAAAAAAAAUUUAAUUAUUUAAAUUAAAUUUUAAUUAUAUAAAAAUAUAAUUAUAUUAUUUUUAUUUAUUAAAAUAUUUAUUAUUUAUAUAUAAGUUAUAUUUUAUAUCAUACACUUCCUACCAAACAAACAGCAGAACUAAUAAAACUUCACUUCUAUAACUACAAAACAAAUAGCGGAAAAGAAGUAGUUUUUAUCGAACACCACUUUAACCCAAAAUCCACUUCAACCCAAAGUCCAGUUUCGGCGAAACAAACAUGCCUGCACGUGCGGGGUGCUCUGUAUGCGAUGAAUAGGAGAGCCCAGCUGGGGCACUCGAAAAAUUAUAGAAUGCAUAAGUUAUAUUAGUGACGUGGAGUCUCAACCAAUUAAAUAUAUUAUUUUAUAUUAAUCCGUCGCAUCAUAAUUAUAAAAAAAAUAUUUUUAUAGUUAUUUUUUUAAAAAAAAGAAGAGAUAUGAUUGAUUUAUUUUUAUUGAUAUGACGCAAGUGUGAUAAAAUAGACUUUCUCGAAAUGCUGUUGAGAAAUCGAU